rnacentral:rRNA from 1 species
GAUGAACGCUGGCGGCGUGCUUAACACAUGCAAGUCGAACGAAGCACUUUAUUUGAUUUCCUUCGGGACUGAUUAUUUUGUGACUGAGUGGCGGACGGGUGAGUAACGCGUGGGUAACCUGCCUUGUACAGGGGGAUAACAGUUGGAAACGGCUGCUAAUACCGCAUAAGCGCACGGCAUCGCAUGAUGCAGUGUGAAAAACUCCGGUGGUAUAAGAUGGACCCGCGUUGGAUUAGCUAGUUGGUGAGGUAACGGCCCACCAAGGCGACGAUCCAUAGCCGACCUGAGAGGGUGACCGGCCACAUUGGGACUGAGACACGGCCCAAACUCCUACGGGAGGCAGCAGUGGGGGAUAUUGCACAAUGGGCGAAAGCCUGAUGCAGCGACGCCGCGUGAGCGAAGAAGUAUUUCGGUAUGUAAAGCUCUAUCAGCAGGGAAGAUAAUGACGGUACCUGACUAAGAAGCACCGGCUAAAUACGUG